UCCCAUAUUGUCUAGUGGUUAGGAUACCUGGCUCUCACCCAGGAGGCCCGGGUUCAAUUCCCGGUAAGGGAA
rnacentral:tRNA from 1 species